rnacentral:rRNA from 1 species
GAGUGGCGGACUGGUGAGUAACGCGUGGGUGACCUGCCCUUGAGUUGGGGAUAGCCAUUAGAAAUAGUGGAUAAUACCGAAUACGAUUGCCGGACUAUGGUUUGGUAAUGAAAGGAGCUACGGCUCCGCUCGAGGAUGGGCCCGCGUCCCAUUAGCUAGUUGGUGAGGUAACGGCCCACCAAGGCGACGAUGGGUAUCCGGCCUGAGAGGGUGUACGGACACAUUGGGACUGAGAUACGGCCCAAACUCCUACGGGAGGCAGCAGCUAAGAAUAUUCCGCAAUGGACGAAAGUCUGACGGAGCGACGCCGCGUGGAUGAAGAAGGCCGAAAGGUUGUAAAAUCCUUUUGCUGAUGAAGAAUAAGUGGUGUAGGGAAUGACAUCAUGAUGACAUUAGUCGGUGAAUAAGCCCCGGCUAACUACGUGCCAGCAGCCGCGGUAACACGUAGGGGGCAAGCGUUGUUCGGAAUUAUUGGGCGUAAAGGGCAUGUAGGCGGUUUUGUAAGCCUGGUGUGAAAUCCUGCAGCUUAACUGUAGAAUUGCAUUGGGUACUGCAAGACUUGAAUCACAGAGGGGAAACUAGAAUUCCAGGUGUAGGGGUGGAAUCUGUAGAUAUCUGGAAGAAUACCGGUGGCGAAGGCGGGUCUCUAGCUGAUGAUUGACGCUGAGGUGCGAAAGUGCGGGGAGCAAACAGGAUUAGAU